UAUGCGCACCGGAAUUGCAACCAUCGCCUUCCUGGCAGUUUCCCCCACUGUUAUCUGUGCUGUCUUUGUGACACAAACCACACUGCAUAGAAAAACAGAAGACGAGGACUAUGUGUUCCAUCUGGUGAGUGCUGUGAGU